rnacentral:lncRNA from 1 species
GCGGCGCUCUCGCUGGGUCUAGUUUUCGUCGGCACUUGCCAUGAGGAAUGUGUGCAAGCAAUCGUGCAGGCCCUCAUGCUUCGACCCGAGAAAGACUUGGAGGAUCCGUUUGCUCAUUUCCUCUGCCUUGGUCUCGGCCUCAUUUUCUUGCAGCGUCAGGGCGAGGUCGAGGCUACUCUUGAGGUGGCGAAGACCUUGCCGCCGCGCAUCAGCGACUUCCUCCAGGUUACCCUUGAGGCUUGCGCUUAUGCCGGAAGUGGAAACGUUCUCAAGGUGCAGGCCCUCCUGGCGCGCUGCGGUGAGCACCCUGAACUUGACGGCGACGAUGCGAAUGAGGGCGCCGACAGCGAGUCUCAAGAGUGGAAAUAUGAUCCGCAGUCAAUUGCCGCUCUUGGCGUGGCCCUCAUUGCCUCAGCAGAGGAGCUUGGAUCGGACAUGGCGGUGCGUGCAUAUGAUCACUUGAUCCAGUAUGGUGACGCCGCAGUUCGAAAGGCUUGCCCUGUGGGUCUCGCGUUGCUGCACAUUUCGAACCCCAAGCUCAACGUCACUGAUGUUCUCGGUCGUUUGAGCCAUGACAGUAACGAGGAUGUCGCGCAGGCUGCCAGCCUCGCUUUGGGUAUUGUCGGCGCUGGCACGAACAAUGCGCGCCUUGCGAGUCAGCUCCGCCAGUUAUCCAGCU